GUAACGUGUGGGCAACCUGCCCUAUACUGGGGAAUAAUCACUGGAAACGGUGACUAAUACCGCAUGUCAUUACGGAAGGGCAUCCUUCUGUAAGAAAAGGAGUAAUUCGGUAUAGGAUGGGCCCGCAUCUGAUUAGCUAGUUGGUGAGAUAACAGCCCACCAAGGCGACGAUCAGUAGCCGACCUGAGAGGGUGAUCGGCCACAUUGGGACUGAGACACGGCCCAAACUCCUACGGGAGGCAGCAGUGGGGAAUAUUGCACAAUGGGGGAAACCCUGAUGCAGCAACGCCGCGUGAAGGAAGAAGGUUUUCGGAUCGUAAACUUCUAUCAACAGGGACGAAGAAAGUGACGGUACCUGAAUAAGAAGCCCCGGCUAACUACGUGCCAGCAGCCGCGGUAAUACGUAGGGGGCAAGCGUUAUCCGGAAUUACUGGGUGUAAAGGGAGCGUAGGCGGCACGCCAAGCCAGAUGUGAAAGCCCGAGGCUUAACCUCGCGGAUU
rnacentral:rRNA from 1 species